rnacentral:rRNA from 1 species
AAUAGAUACCCUGGUAGUCCACGCCGUAAACGAUGGAUACUUGGUGUUGGAGGUAUUGACCCCUUCAGUGCCGAAGCUAACGCGUUAAGUAUCCCGCCUGGGGAGUACGGUCGCAAGAUUAAAACUCAAAGAAAUUGACGGGGGCCCGCACAAGCGGUGGAGCAUGUGGUUUAAUUCGAUGCAACGCGAAAAACCUUACCUGGGCUCGAAAUGUACAGGAAGAUAGCAGAGAUGUUAUCGCCUUCGGGUCUGUAUAUAGGUGCUGCAUGGCUGUCGUCAGCUCGUGUCGUGAGAUGUUGGGUUAAGUCCCGCAACGAGCGCAACCCUUGCCUUUAGUUGCCAGCAUUCAGUUGGGCACUCUAGAGGGACUGCCGACGUUAAGUCGGAGGAAGUGGGGAUGACGUCAAGUCCUCAUGGCCCUUAUGUCCAGGGCUACACACGUGCUACAAUGGUUACUACAGAGGGUUGCCAAACCGUAAGGUGAGCUAAUCCCGUAAAGGUAAUCUAAGUUCAGAUUGAGGUCUGCAACUCGA